GCAAGUCGAACGAGAAAUCCCGAGCUUGCUUGGGAGAGUAAAGUGGCGCUCGGGUGAGUAACGCGUGGGUAACCUACCUUUUAAUCUGGAAUAACCAGCCGAAAGGCUGACUAAUACCGGAUACGGUUUUUAGGACUUAGGUUCUCUAAAGUAAAGGUGACCUAUUCAUGAAAGUUGCCGUUCAUAGAUGGGCCCGCGUAACAUUAGCUAGUGGGUGGGGUAAUGGCCUACCAAGGCGACGAUGGUUAGCUGGUCUGAGAGGAUGAGC
rnacentral:rRNA from 1 species